rnacentral:rRNA from 1 species
GACGAACGCUGGCGGCGUGCUUAACACAUGCAAGUCGAACGGUGACGGGGCCUGCUUUUGUUGGCCCUGGAUGAGUGGCGAACGGGUGAGUAACACGUGAGUAACCUGCCCCUUUCUUCUGGAUAACCGCAUGAAAGUUUGGCUUAUUCGGGCUAUUCUGGGUCUGUUGCAUGAUGGGUCUGGUCAAGAUUGCGCCUUUGGGUUUUUUUGGUGGGGGAUUGGCUCGCGGCCUAUCAGCUUGUUGGUGGGGUGAUGGCCUACAAAGGCGGUGACGGGUAGCAGGGCUGGGAGGGUGGACGGUGACACUGGAAAUGGGACAGGGGCCAGACUGCGACGGGAGGCAGCAGUGGGGAAUAUUGCGCAAUGGGCGGAAGCCUGAUGCAGCGACGCCGCGUGAGGGAUGGAGGCCUUCGGGUUGUAAACCUCUUUAGCCAGUGAAGGAGGCCUGCUACUUGUGGGUGGGUUGACGGUAGCUGGAUAAGAAGCGCCGGCUAACUACG